GAAGUAGCUUGCUACUUUGCUGACGAGUGGCGGACGGGUGAGUAAUGUCUGGGGAUCUGCCUGAUGGAGGGGGAUAACUACUGGAAACGGUAGCUAAUACCGCAUAAUGUCGCAAGACCAAAGCGGGGGACUUUCGGGCCUCGCACCAUCAGAUGAACCCAGAUGGGAUUAGCUAGUAGGUAAGGUAAUGGCUUACCUAGGCGACGAUCCCUAGCUGGUCUGAGAGGAUGACCAGCCACACUGGAACUGAGACACGGUCCAGACUCCUACGGGAGGCAGCAGUGGGGAAUAUUGCACAAUGGGCGCAAGCCUGAUGCAGCCAUGCCGCGUGUAUGAAGAAGGCCUUCGGGUUGUAAAGUACUUUCAGUCAGGAGGAAGGGUGUGAAAUUAAUACUUUCAUACAUUGACGUUACUGACAGAAGAAGCACCGGCUAACUCCGUGCCAGCAGCCGCGGUAAUACGGAGGGUGCAAGCGUUAAUCGGAAUUACUGGGCGUAAAGCGCACGCAGGCGGUUUGUUAAGUCAGAUGUGGAAUCCCCGGGCUCAACCUGGGAACUGCAUUUGAAACUGGCAAGCUUGAGUCUUGUAGAGGGGGGUAGAAUUUCCAGGUGUAGCGGUGAAAUGCGUAGAGAUCUGGAGGAAUACCGGUGGCGAAGGCGGCCCCCUGGACAAAGACUGACGCUCAGGUGCGAAAGCGUGGGGAGCAACCAGGAUUAGAUACCCUGGUAGUCCACGCCGUAAACGAUGUCGACUUGGAGGCUGUUCCCUUGAGGAGUGGCUUCCGGAGCUAACGCGUUAAGUCGACCGCCUGGGGAGUACGGCCGCAAGGUUAAAACUCAAAUGAAUUGACGGGGGCCCGCACAAGCGGUGGAGCAUGUGGUUUAAUUCGAUGCAACGCGAAGAACCUUACCUACUCUUGACAUCCAGAGAAUUUAGCAGAGAUGCUUUAGUGCCUUCGGGAACUCUGAGACAGGUGCUGCAUGGCUGUCGUCAGCUCGUGUUGUGAAAUGUUGGGUUAAGUCCCGCAACGAGCGCAACCCUUAUCCUUUGUUGCCAGCACGUAAUGGUGGGAACUCAAAGGAGACUGCCGGUGAUAAA
rnacentral:rRNA from 1 species